UACGGGGGGGGCAAGCGUUGUUCGGAAUUACUGGGCGUAAAGGGCUCGUAGGCGGCCAACUAAGUCAGACGUGAAAUCCCCAGGCUUAACCUGGGAACUGCGUCUGAUACUGGAUGGCUUGAGAUUGGGAGAGGGAUGCGGAAUUCCAGGUGUAGCGGUGAAAUGCGUAGAUAUCUGGAGGAACACCGGUGGCGAAGGCGACAUCCUGGACCCACACUGACGCUGAGGAGCGAAAGCCAGGGGAGCAAACGGG
rnacentral:rRNA from 1 species